CUCAACUGGAGUAUUGUGUCCAGUUCUGGGCACCGCAUUUCAAGAAAGAUGUGGAGAAAUUGGAGAGGGUCCAGAGAAGAGCAACAAGAAUGAUUAAAGGUCUUGAGAACAUGACCUAUGAAGGAAGGCUGAAGAAUUGGGUUUAUUUAGUUUGGAAAAGAGAAGACUGAGAGGGGACAUGAUAGCAGUUUUCAGGUAUCUAAAAGGGUGUCAUCAGGAGGAGGGAGAAAACUUGUUCACCUUAGCUUCUAAUGAUAGAACAAGAAGCAAUGGGCUUAAACUGCAGCAAGGGAGAUUUAGGUUGGACAUUAGGAAAAAGUUCCUAACUGUCAGGGUAGUUAAACACUGGAAUAGAUUGCCUAGGGAGGUUGUGGAAUCUCCAUCUCUAGAGAUAUUUAAGAGUAGGUUAGAUAAAUGUCUAUCAGGAAUGGUCUAGACAGUAUUUGGUCCUGCCAUGAGGGCAGGGGACUGGACUCGAAGACCUCUCGAGGUCCCUUCCAGUCCUAGGGUCUAUGAAUCUUCAGCUGCUGUAACUCAAGAUAGCUUCUGUGAAGUCAAUGGAGCUACACUGAUUUACACUGGCUGCUCCACUGGACCUCAUUUACCCUGAGGCCCCUUGACGCUGUUCUGGCUGGGUAAAAGUGCGUCAGUGUAAAUGACAAUCAAGCAGAUUUGUCUUUAUUGCCCCAUUCGAAUAUUGCUGUCUGAUCCUUUCAUUUCAGUCUCUCCAGCAGAGAAAACAAAUCUGAGAGCAAGCCCACAACAACUGAGUGGGAUCAAAGGUAGGGAAAGUGAUCUGCCAGCCCUUGUCUAUAGGCCUCGUUCUCAUUUACACUAACACCUGCUCUACCCACAGAUUUUGUCCCAGUAUAACGAUAUCAGUUUGGGGGGGGGGGGAGGUGACUAGUUUACCGAUAUAGUUAUUCCAGUAUAACCCCUAAUGUGUAUGCAGUUAAACCAGUAUAAAGGUGCCUUGUACUGGGUCAUGUAUUCCCCUUCCCAUAUGGGACUAGCUAUACCACUAUAAACCCCUUCAUGUCAGCAUAACUGCAUCCACACUUGGGAGGGAUUUCUCUCUUUACCUAUAUUGGUAUAAAGUGGAAAAGCUUUUGUGUGCCUUAAACCUCUUUCACACAACUGUGGCAGCAGAAAGGAGGUCGUAGCGGGUACAAAUUUGGGUCCCUUUACCCAGCCAGAAUUAUGUAAAAUUGUAAAUGAGACUCUAGGCCAUAUUCUCCUUAGGAAGAACAAACCAGAGAGCACACUUUCUGGCCAUGCUUGGGGCAGUUGCUCUUUGUUUCAGCUCAGCCCAGGACCUCUUCCCUGCUAUAGCUGCCCAUUUCAGAAUAGCUUGCGGUUACUGGCAUGAUGUUAAAAAUUCUCAGGAUUGUGGCCGCUCUGUGGUGGGUGACCACGCACGCCUAUCUCAGAUCUCCUCUGGGUGAUGUUAACAUCAGGUCCUCUUUCCCUCCAGCUCCCCACCCUCCUCGCUCCCUGUAAAUCAGAUAGAUCGGGAUAGAUGUAGUGUUCUUUGGGCUAUGUGCAAAAACCUUUGUAAAAUAGAAUAAACCCUUUAAAUUAUGCACUAAAGAAACAAAACAAACCCCCAACAUAUAUAUAUUGUGGUUAGUCGAAUUGCCUACACAGUUCAGCACGCCUAUAUUGUCACAGGCAGCUUUCAUUUUCCCGCCUGUGAUGGUGCAAAUGUACAAAAAAUUGCGCACUUCCCUUUAUUAGUUGUAUUUAUUGUUUAGAAAGGCAAUUUUAAAAAGCUAUACUCUGUAUCUAUAAGUAUACAUAUAUAUAUAUAUUUUUAACCUCUUCUUUCCCACACCCCGCCUCCCCCCAUGCUCCCUCCCCUUUUUUGUGUGUGAAUUAAGGGAUUCUGUUCUCUUGGGUGGCAGCAGAUCAGUUUUAAAAAAAAAUCCAUGAUCUUCGUGUAGGAGAGAUAUGGGGGGAAGGGUAAUUUUUCUGGGGGGUUGCCCCUCUUUGAUACAUCUGGCUCGUUGGGAGACCAUCGAUCUAGUGAAAGCAAGAAAGCAGUAGAGAAGUGGAUACAUGCGAGUAGCUUGUAAAUUUCCAUCCAGGAUCUUUGACUAGGUCCAUCUUUCUCUAGGCGUUUGCAUCCCUGGGGUCUGUCCUUCUAUAUUAAUCUCCCAACCCCCAGGAGCUCUUUCUUGGUACAUCCUUGCUUUUUUAUCCCCAGUCCUGUCCCUUCCGACCCCACCCAUCCCACCCUCGUUGACAAUCAGUGGCUCCUUCCCAGGGAUGGCAGCACGUCAGUGAGAUGUCUGUUUUGUUUUUUCAAUAUUCCUUUCUUUGUGCUGUAUGGUGAUGCGAUAUUGUAUAUUACACGAUAAGCAAAAGAGAUAAAAAAAUAUUACCAUGAAAAAUUCUGAUGAGUUUUGUUUGAAAACUCUUUCACUAUAUUUGUUGUAAAGAGGUUUACUAUUAAAAAGAAAAACAAAUACA